rnacentral:rRNA from 1 species
CCCUUGUGUUUCCAACCUUUGUUGCUUUGGCAGGUUGCCCCCGUGGCCGCCGGAACGAAAGCUCGUUCGGGCGUAAGCGGACGGUCGCCCCGCGGCUCGCCCCGCCUGCCAGAGCCCUUCUAAUCUUCGAACGAAUCGAGUCGUCUGAGUAUACUUUUGAAUAUUAUAAAACUUUCAACAACGGAUCUCUUGGUUCUGGCAUCGAUGAAGAACGCAGCGAAAUGCGAUAAGUAAUGUGAAUUGCAGAAUUCAGUGAAUCAUCGAAUCUUUGAACGCACAUUGCGCCCCCCGGUAUUCCGAGGGGCAUGCCUGUCCGAGCGUCAUUUCACCCCCCAAGCCCGGCUUGGUAUUGGAGCCCGCCCCACCGGACGGCCCCGAAAAGCGCUGGCGGCGCCGACGCGGUUCCGAGCGCAGUAGAAUGCUUGCUCACGACCGCGGCGCGCCCGCCCGUCACCCCAUUUCUGUGGUUGACCUCGGAUCAGGUAGGGCUACCCGCUGAACUUAAGCAUAUCAAUAAGCG